rnacentral:rRNA from 1 species
AUUGAACGCUGGCGGCAGGCCUAACACAUGCACGUCGAACGAGUGGCGGUCGGGUGAGUAAUGUCUGGGCAACUGCCUGAUGUAGGGGGCUAACUACUGGAAACGGUAGCUAAUACCGCAUACCUUCCCAUGCGCCCAGAUGGGGUUAGCUACUCGGUGGGGUACCGGCUCACCUAGGCGAAGAUCCCUAGCUGGUCUGAGAGGAUGACCAGCCACCCUGGGACUGAGACAAGGGCCAGAGUCCUACGGCAGGGAGCAGUGGCGAGUGUUGCUCGAUGGGCACGAGCCUGAUGCAGCCCCGCGGCGAGUAUGUGGAUGGCCUUCGGGUUGUGAGGUACUUUCUGUGAGGAAGCGGUCUCCGCAGGAGAAGGACCGGCUAACUCCGGGCGAGCAGCCGCGGUAAUAC